GAAGGCGACUCAGGAGUCCAAGCUAAUAAGGCACUUGUGUUCAACAGCCCUUGUGUCCUGACGUUUUAAAGGGACAGAUCCUUGUCCAGCCCAGAAAUUCAACUUCUGCAAACCCCGAUCGUUUCGAAACCUAAAGAUCCAGCUCUUUCCAGCAUCUGCCGGCGCUUUGUUCUUGGUAUUUAGGCGUAGUCUGAGCAAUACAACUUCGCGGACAGCGUCCUUAGCGAGCCCGAUUCUCUUCCAGCAUGGACCUUCCAGGCUGCGCCUCUCGCGCCCUCCUGUGAGGUCGCCCCUUGGGCCCCGCUGCAAAGGAAGAAGAGCGGCGGGGGGCACCAAAGAGCUUCGCGCCUGUCAGCAGCGCCCACCUAGCCAAGUCGAGCUGUCUGCUCACUGUUCGCCCACCCGUCGAAGACGUCG